rnacentral:rRNA from 1 species
AUGUGAAAGCCCCCGGCCUCAACCGGGGAGGGUCAUUGGAAACUGGGAGACUUGAGUGCAGAAGAGGAGAGUGGAAUUCCAUGUGUAGCGGUGAAAUGCUAAGAUAUAUGGAGGAACACCAGUGGCGAAGGCGGCUCUCUGGUCUGUAACUGACGCUGAGGCUCGAAAGCGUGGGGAGCGAACAGGAUUAGAUACCCUGGUAGUCCACGCCGUAAACGAUGAGUGCUAAGUGUUGGAGGGUUUCCGCCCUUCAGUGCUGCAGCAAACGCAUUAAGCACUCCGCCUGGGGAGUACGACCGCAAGGUUGAAACUCAAAGGAAUUGACGGGGGCCCGCACAAGCGGUGGAGCAUGUGGUUUAAUUCGAAGCAACGCGAAGAACCUUACCAGGUCUUGACAUCCUUUGACCACUCUAGAGAUAGAGCUUCCCCUUCGGGGGCAAAGUGACAGGUGGUGCAUGGUUGUCGUCAGCUCGUGUCGUGAGAUGUUGGGUUAAGUCCCGCAACGAGCGCAACCCUUAUUGUUAGUUGCCAUCAUUUAGUUGGGCACUCUAGCGAGACUGCCGGUGACAAACCGGAGGAAGGUGGGGAUGACGUCAAAUCAUCAUGCCCCUUAUGACCUGGGCUACACACGUGCUACAAUGGGAAGUACAACGAGUUGCGAAGUCGCGAGGCUAAGCUAAUCUCUUAAAGCUUCUCUCAGUUCGGAUUGUAGGCUGCAACUCGCCUACAUGAAGCCGGAAUCGCUAGUAAUCGCGGAUCAGCACGCGCGGUGGAAAUACCUUUCCCGGGGCCUUGUACACACCGCCCCGUCACACC